rnacentral:rRNA from 1 species
GACGAACGCUGGCGGCGUGCUUAACACAUGCAAGUCGAACGAUGAAGCCGGAGCUUGCUCUGGUGAAUUAGUGGCGAACGGGUGAGUAACACGUGAGUAACCUGCCCUUGACUCCGGGAUAACUGCUAGAAAUGGUAGCUACUACCGGAUACGACCCUCGGAGGCAUCUCCAGGGGGUGGAAAGAAUUUCGGUCAAGGAUGGACUCGCGGCCUAUCAGCUAGUUGGUGAGGUAACGGCUCACCAAGGCGACGACGGGUAGACGGCCUGAGAGGGUGACCGGCCACACUGGGACUGAGACACGGCCCAGACUCCUACGGGAGGCAGCAGUGGGGAAUAUUGCACAAUGGGCGCAAGCCUGAUGCAGCAACGCCGCGUGAGGGAUGACGGCCUUCGGGUUGUAAACCUCUUUUAGUAGGGAAGAAGCGAAAGUGACGGUACCUGCAGAAAAAGCACCGGCUAACUACGUGCCAGCCGCCGCUGUAA